CUACGGGAGGCAGCAGCAAGGAGUUUUCCGCAAUGGGCGAAAGCCUGACGGAGCAACGCCGCGUGUGGGAUGACGCCCUUCGGGGUGUAAACCACUUUUCUUGGGGACGAAGCAGUGACGGUACCCGAGGAAGAAGGCCCGGCUAACUACGUGCCAGCAGCCGCGGUAAUACGUAGGGGCCGAGCGUUGUCCGGAGUUACUGGGCGUAAAGCGCGCGCAGGCGGCUCGUCAAGCCUGACGUGAAAGCCCCCGGCUCAACCGGGGAGGGUCGUCGGGGACUGGCGGGCUUGAGGUCGGCAGGGGUUGGUGGAAUUCCCGGUGUAGUGGUGAAAUGCGUAGAGAUCGGGAGGAACACCCGUGGCGAAGGCGGCCAACUGGGCCGGACCUGACGCUGAGGCGCGAAGGCGUGGGGAGCGAACGGGAUUAGAAACCCUAGUAGUCC
rnacentral:rRNA from 1 species